GAGCUGUGAGGAUAGCUGCGCCAAAGUGGAUGGAGGGUCCUCCACACUGCUCUGACCAACUUGGUUGAUGUAAUCAGGCGCUUCUGAGCUC
rfam:Spinacia oleracea cultivar SynViroflay scaffold5704.con0003.1, whole genome shotgun sequence.